rnacentral:rRNA from 1 species
GAAAGUACGUUUUCACCUCAGGUGACAGGGAGACAGGUGGUGCAUGGUUGUCGUCAGCUCGUGUCGUGAGAUGUUGGGUUAAGUCCCGCAACGAGCGCAACCCUUGUCUUUAGUUGCCAUCAUUCAGUUGGGCACUCUAGAGAGACUGCCGAGGACAACUCGGAGGAAGGUGGGGAUGACGUCAAAUCAUCAUGCCCCUUAUGACCUGGGCUACACACGUGCUACAAUGGUUGGUACAACGAGUUGCGAGUCGGUGACGGCGAGCUAAUCUCUUAAAGCCAAUCUCAGUUCGGAUUGUAGGCUGCAACUCGCCUACAUGAAGUCGGAAUCGCUAGUAAUCGCGGAUCAGCACGCCGCGGUGAAUACGUUCCCGGGCCUU